rnacentral:rRNA from 1 species
ACGAACGCUGGCGGCGUGCCUAAUACAUGCAAGUCGAACGGUCUUUCUAUGGAAGCUUGCUUCCACUGAGAAGAUAGUGGCGAACGGGUGAGUAACACGUGGGUAACCUGCCCAUAAGAGGGGGAUAACAUCCGGAAACGGGUGCUAAUACCGCAUAGUUUUCUUGAUCGCAUGAUUGAGAAAGGAAAGACGGCCUUUGUGCUGUCGCUUAUGGAUGGACCCGCGGCGUAUUAGUUAGUUGGUGAGGUAACGGCUCACCAAGACGAUGAUACGUAGCCGACCUGAGAGGGUGAUCGGCCACAUUGGGACUGAGACACGGCCCAAACUCCUACGGGAGGCAGCAGUAGGGAAUCUUCCGCAAUGGACGAAAGUCUGACGGAGCAACGCCGCGUGAGUGAAGAAGGUUUUUCGGAUCGUAAAACUCUGUUGUCAGAGAAGAACAAGUUGGAGAGUAACUGCUCCAGCCUUGACGGUAUCUGACCAGAAAGCCACGGCUAACUACGUGCCAGCCGCAGC